CUUCCGCAAUGGACGAAAGUCUGACGGAGCACUGCGCGUGAGUGAGAUGUUCUUCGGAUCUGUAAACUCUGUUGUUAGAGAGACAAGGAUGAGAGUAACUGCUCGUCUCUUGACGGUAUCUAACCAGAAAGCCAUGGCUAACUACGUGCCAGCAGCCGCGGUAAUACGUAGAUGGCAAGCGUUGUCCGGAUUUAUUGGGCGUA
rnacentral:rRNA from 1 species